AGUGAACGCUGGCGGUAGGCCUAACACAUGCAAGUCGAACGGCAGCACAGUAAGAGCUUGCUCUUACAGGUGGCGAGUGGCGGACGGGUGAGGAAUACAUCGGAAUCUACUUUUUUGUGGGGGAUAACGUAGGGAAACUUACGCUAAUACCGCAUACGACCUACGGGUGAAAGCAGGGGAUCUUCGGACCUUGCGCGAUUGAAUGAGCCGAUGUCGGAUUAGCUAGUUGGCGGGGUAAAGGCCCACCAAGGCGACGAUCCGUAGCUGGUCUGAGAGGAUGAUCAGCCACACUGGAACUGAGACACGGUCCAGACUCCUACGGGAGGCAGCAGUGGGGAAUAUUGGACAAUGGGCGCAAGCCUGAUCCAGCCAUACCGCGUGGGUGAAGAAGGCCUUCGGGUUGUAAAGCCCUUUUGUUGGGAAAGAAAAGCAGCAGGUUAAUACCCCGCUGUUCUGACGGUACCCAAAGAAUAAGCACCGGCUAACUUCGUG
rnacentral:rRNA from 1 species